rnacentral:rRNA from 1 species
UGCAGUCGAACGGUAACAGGAAGAAGCUUGCUUCUUUGCUGACGAGUGGCGGACGGGUGAGUAAUGUCUGGGAAACUGCCUGAUGGAGGGGGAUAACUACUGGAAACGGUAGCUAAUACCGCAUAACGUCGCAAGACCAAAGAGGGGGACCUUCGGGCCUCUUGCCAUCGGAUGUGCCCAGAUGGGAUUAGCUAGUAGGUGGGGUAACGGCUCACCUAGGCGACGAUCCCUAGCUGGUCUGAGAGGAUGACCAGCCACACUGGAACUGAGACACGGUCCAGACUCCUACGGGAGGCAGCAGUGGGGAAUAUUGCACAAUGGGCGCAAGCCUGAUGCAGCCAUGCCGCGUGUAUGAAGAAGGCCUUCGGGUUGUAAAGUACUUUCAGCGGGGAGGAAGGGAGUAAAGUUAAUACCUUUGCUCAUUGACGUUACCCGCAGAAGAAGCACCGGCUAACUCCGUGCCAGCAGCGGGGGGAAA